rnacentral:lncRNA from 1 species
AUGUGGAGCAUGGAUCUUUGGUCUUCUUUGCAGAAAGAGUAUUUGUGGUUUCCUCUUCCCCGGGACUUCCGAAUGCUUGUGUGGAGGGAACAAAUAACUGUGAAGUUACCAGUACCACAGGUAGAACAAGCACACGUGAGUGAUCAGCUUGGAAAGUCCAGUCCUGCCCAACUGAAAGGUUAGAAACCAAGUCAUUCUCCAAAUGUAAACCCAUAUAUUUACACACCAU